rnacentral:rRNA from 1 species
UAAUAUAUAAUUAUUAUUUUUUUUUGAUUAAUAAUUUAAUUAAUAAAAUCAAUUUUAUUAAAUAUGGGUUUUAGUAUUGGAUAUAAAAAAAAUAAUUUUAAUAAUAGUUAAUUAGUAUUGUAAAAGAAAUUUGAAAUAUAUAAAAAUUAAUUAAAUUAAAAGUAAAUAUAAUUUAUUGUACCUUGUGUAUCAGGGUUUAUUAAUUAAAAUAUAAUUAUUUGUAUUUCCCGAUUUUAAGAGAUUUAAUAAUAUAUUUUAGUUUACGUAUUAUAGUAAUUAAUUAUAUAUUAUUUGAAAUGAAACGUUAUUCGUUCUUAAAUAUAUCUGGUUUUUUAAGAAAUAAAUUUAAUUUAGAUAAUAAAAAGUAAUUGUUUUAUUUUAAAAAUAAUUAAUUUUUAUUAUUAAUAUUUUAAGGGAUAAGCUUUAAAAUAUUAUCUAUAAUAGUUAUUUAAUAGUUUAGAAUUUGUAGGUUUAGAAAUAUCCAUUAAUUAAAAAAAUGUUAUAAUUUAUUUUAAAUUAAAUAUAAUUUUUAUUUAUUUAGAUUUUUUAUUAAAAUAUAUUUUGUAAUUAUAAAAAAAUAGAAUUUAUAAUAAAAUUAGUAUAAAUAAAUUGUUAGAAUAUUUUUUAUUUAUUAGGUUAAAUUAAGGAAUUCGGCAAAUAAACGCUCGCCUGUUUAACAAAAACAUGUCUUUUUGAAUAUAAUUUAAAGUCUAAUCUGCCCACUGAUGAUUUAAAGGGCCGCGGUAUUUUGACCGUGCAAAGGUAGCAUAAUAAUUAGUCUUUUAAUUGAGGGCUAGAAUGAAUGAUUGAACGAGGUGUUGACUGUCUCAAUUUAAAUGAAAUUAAAAUUUAACUUUUUAGUUAAAAGGCUUAAAUAAAAUUAAAAGACGAGAAGACCCUAUAGAGCUUUAUAUUUAUAUUUAUUAAUUUAUACAUAGAAAUUUAAAAAUUUUAUUAAAAUAAAUAUUUUGUUGGGGUGACAGGAAGAUUUAUUAAACUCUUUUUAUUUUAAAACAAAAAUUAUUGAAUUAUUGAUCCAUUUUUAUUGAUUAAAAGAUUAAGUUACCUUAGGGAUAACAGCGUAAUUUUUUUUAAGAGUUCAUAUCGACAAAAAAGAUUGCGACCUCGAUGUUGGAUUAAGAGUUAUUUUUGGGUGUAGAAGUUCAAAGUUUAGGUCUGUUCGACCUUUAAAUUCUUACAUGAUCUGAGUUCAGACCGGCGUAAGCCAGGUCGGUUUCUAUCUUUAAUAUAAAUAAAAUAUUUUAGUACGAAAGGACCAAAUAUUUAAAAUAAUUUUUUAUAAAGAAUAUUAUUAAUUUAAUUUA